rnacentral:rRNA from 1 species
CGCGUAGGCGGUUGAGUAAAGUCAAAUGUGAAAUCCCCGGGCUUAACCUGGGAACUGCAUUCGAUACUGCUUAACUAGAGUAUGGUAGAGGGAAGUGGAAUUCCGGGUGUAGCGGUGAAAUGCGUAGAUAUCCGGAGGAACACCAGUGGCGAAGGCGACUUCCUGGGCCAAUACUGACGCUGAGGUGCGAAAGCGUGGGGAGCAAACA